AGUUUCUCGAAAACCGGCAACCAGAUGCGAAUGUAACUGCGAUAGCAAUCAGGAGAAGAGACUUUGGUCUCUUCGCUGUAAAUGAAUCUCAAUUUAAACGCCUCAGGACAAGCAGUGCUUUGCUGUUGUUUGAACUGCGAAACCCUUUGUGUUAUAGAUUCGAGAAAAUGAUGAGAAAAGUGAAUCCCAGAAAAAUUAGUUGAACGUAUUCACGGUGAAAGAAGAAGAAGACUGCCCGCAGCACAUUCCCUUCGAACGAGCUUUGUUUGUCAAGCGAAAGUUGGGAAUAAUUUUGAACCCCUAUACUUCAACCUUUUUGUUAUCUAAUCCCACGUUUUGAUCAUUUCAUGACCGUUUUUGGAUUUGAUGGUACCUUUUAUAUUUGAUGUAAUCGGGGA